AGCAAGGACCUCGUUUUGCUUCUAGAAUCAAGGAGAAUGCCGGCACUAAAGGCACCUUCCUGUGACAUUUUGGAUGGCUCCUGGAAUAAAUUUCUACCACUGAGGAAACUUGCUGGUGAGGCAGAAGUCUCUGUCUCCACAGAGAAAAAGCAAAAGAAGGGAGUUGUGCAUCUACUUAGAAUAAGAGAAAAUGGUUUCCAGAUGGCUAAUGAAUGGUUAGGUUUCUCUGUCACGUGGCAACAAGUCUUACUUCCUCAAAUGCUGGUUCUAAGGACUACUGUGAAAUCCUACUAUUGAGAUUCAUCUAGAUCCAAUUCCAUCUCAUUAUUGUGGAGAUACGGUGCAGAGAACAAUACAUGAAUAAAUACAAUUGGAUUCUGC
rnacentral:lncRNA from 1 species